UUGUGGUUAAAAAGCUCGUAGUUGGAUCUCAACAGCCUUGGAAGCGGUUAACUUUGUAGUUUUACUGCUUUAUAGGCUGUGCUUUUGCUGGAGGUUUAGGGGUGCUCUUGAUCGAGUGUCUCUGGAUGCCAGCAGGUUUACUUUGAAAAAAUUAGAGUGCUCAAAGCAGGCUAAAAUGCCUGAAUAUUCGUGCAUGGAAUAAUAGAAUAGGAUGUCGAUCCUAUUUUGUUGGUUUUCGGGACUCGACAUAAUGAUAAAUAGGGACAGUCGGGGGCAUUUGUAUUCAAACGACAGAGGUGAAAUUCUUGGACCGUUUGAAGACAAACUACUGCGAAAGCAUUUGCCAAGAAUGUUUUCAUUAACCAAGAACGAAAGUUAGAGGUUCGAAGGCGAUUAGAUACCGCCCUAGUUCUAACCAUAAACGAUGCCAGCUAGCGAUCUGCCUGCGUUUUUACUGUA
rnacentral:rRNA from 1 species